GACGAACGCUGGCGGCGUGCUUAACACAUGCAAGUCGAACGGAAAGGCCCUGCUUUUGUGGGGUGCUCGCGUGGCGAACGGGUGAGUAACACGUGAGUAACCCGCCCUGGACUUUGGGAUAACUUCAGGCAACUGGGGCUAAUACAGGCUAGGAGCUCCUGCUGCAUGGUGGGGGUUGGAAAGCUUCGGCGGUUGGGGAUGGACUCGCGGCUUAUCAGCUUGUUGGUGGGGUAGUGGCUUACCAAGGCUUCGACGGGUAGCCGGCCUGAGAGGGUGACCGGGCACAUUAGUACUGAGAUACGGCCCAGUCUCCUACGGGAGGCAGCAGUGGGGAAUAUUGCACAAUGGGCGGAAGCCUGAUGCAGCAGCGCCGCGUGCGGAAUGACGGCCUUCGGGUUGUAAACCGCUUUCGCCUGUGACGAAGCGUGAGUGAUGGUAAUGGGUAAAGAAGCACCGGCUAACUACGUG
rnacentral:rRNA from 1 species